CACCGACCGCGAGAUCGUGACCUGGCUGAAGUCGGACGCCUAACCGACUGCGCCACCCAGGCGCCCCUCGCUGUCUCUUAAGUAAACAAACAUUAAAAAAAAAAAAAAAGAGUCCUUCAGGGGCCUCAGGGGUUGAGAGCCAGCUUUAAGGCAUUCAUAUUUAGGAACGUGAUUUUAAAAUUCAGGAUAUAGGCAGUUAUGCGUAGUGCCUGAGGCACAGAUCCCGCGUCCUGUCCUGCCCCGGCGUCCGUGGCUUGUGUCCAGAGCCUGUGUUUAGGGAUGUCUGUGCGGCUGUGGCCCCUGGGGACAGGUCUGCGGCCGCGGUGAUUGGCCCUCCACGGCUUGCCUCCGCUGUCAGUUCUGCUGUGUUGUGGCGGUCUGCUGAUUGAGGCACACCUCGUUCUGGUACGCUUCACAGAUCCCGCAUUGCCCACACAUCGGUCUGCGGUGACCCUGUGUUGAGCGAGUCUAUUGGCGCCAUUUUCCCAACAGCGCCUGCUUGCUUGCUGUCCCUGUGUCACAUUUUGCUAAUUCUCACGAUACUUCGAGAUUCUUAUUUUUUUAUUAUUUUUUUUUAAAGUUAACUUUUUUUAGUUGUGAGAGAGAGCAUGAGCUGGGCAGAGGGGCAGAGGGAGACAGAGAAUCCCAAGCAGGCUCCACGCUCAGCCCGAUCCCACAACCUGAGCCGAAAUAAAGAGUUGGACGCUCAACUAAUUGAGCCAUCCAGAUGCCCCAAGGUUUUUUUUCAUAAUGUGUCACGGUGAUCUGUGACCGUGAUCUUUGACGUUACCAUCGUGAUUGUUUUGGGGACCAGGAACUGCGUUCACGUAAGGGCAAACCUAAUCGAUAACCGUGUGUGUGUGCUGACCGCUGUCCCGACCGGCCGCUCCCCCGUCUCCCUCCUCGUCCUCGAGCCUCCCUGUUUCCCGAGGCACAACAACACUGAAACUGGGCCACGUAAUGACCCUACAGAGGCCCCCGGGGUCCCAGCGAAAGGAAGAGUCUCACGUCUCUGACGUCAGAUCACGAGCUUCGGACGAGUAAGCUCGGUGAGGAAGGCGGAAACCGGGCCCCUCGUCCCGGACGCUUAGCCGGGUGGUCGGCGCAAAGGACACGCUCCGGAAGGAAAUUAGCAUGGGAAAGAAUCAGCCUCCCCGUUUUAGCGGUCGGGACAGAAGAGCGAACCAGCCACGGCAUCCCCGUAAGCUACAGCCUAACCCAGAGCCACGUGCUGACUGCCUCAGUUCCACGAAGGCUGAGGCGGGGAGGAAGCUGUGGGAGGAGAGUCUGAAGCCAGCAGACGCCGCGUCCAAGACGGAAGAGUGCACGGCGGUGUAGACGCGGCCGCAGGGGGUCCGGAAGAUCCAGCUGCGACCGUUAACGAAGGGGCCCGCACGCCACACGGGUCGAGGACGUGCGUCAGGACGUGCGUAGUUGGAGAGACGUCGGCACCUGGCUUCCCAGCCUCAAGGGACCGGCCGACCCUCCCGUCCCGGGGUGACGGAGCGGCCGGUGACCGCAAGCCGGGGCCAGUGCCCAGCGACCCAUCCCAAGUCCGAGGGCCCCGAGCGAGCACGCGGAGUGGGCGCUGCCUGUCCUCUGCCGACGGGACGCCGCCGCCCGGAUGGCAGCGCGUCUGUGUGCGACGCCCCUGGUCACCCGAGAGCUCGGACAGACACGGGCAGUGAGACGAGCGUGGUGUUCAUGCCUGACUCGGCAUCCGUCCUGCCGCCCGUGGACCGAGGGGUCGUUUCGGUCCUCAAGACUUCUUUAACAGGCGCACUUCGUAAGGCUGUAGCUGCCACGGAUGGUGCUUCCUCUGCUGGGAAAAGUCCGCCGAAAACCCGCCGGAAAGCAGUCACCCUUCUCGAUGCCAGAAAACCUGCCGGAAAGGAGUCACCGUUCUCGAUGCCACUAAGAACGUACGUGAUUCGCAGGAAGAGGCCAAAAUACCAGUUGUGACAGUUCGGCAGAAGGCGAGGCCAGCCCUCAGGGACGACCUCGAGGGGUUCGGGACACGGGCGAGGAAGUCCGUGCAGAUGUGGGGGAACAGGAAGAGAACAGAACCAGAGGUGGAGCCUGCGGGUGGGGCUGGACGGCUUCCGUCUCACGCUUCACCAGACGAGGACCCGCUCCUUCCGGGUGAGCAAGUGAGGAGGUUUCUGGAGCCGGAACCCGCUCCUGGUGAAGGCGCCGCGCGGACGGUCGAAAUGACCGCAAAGGGUUGAGAACAGCGCGUAAACGGAGUCGCUAAAGCCGCAGCAGGUGUGAGCGGCUGGACCCCAGGCGUGAAGGAAGUUCUCCUGUGGGUAGAUGCUAUCGAACAGCAUCGCACGCUACGGAGGGGCCUUUCGGGAAAGAGCACAGCAGACUUGAUCGUCUCAUUUCAGAACUUGCCAGAACCACCCCAGCCUCCGGCAACCUCCACCCUGACGGUCAGCAGCCGGCGGCCUCCAGGAAAACCUUCCACCGGCAGAAAGGUUACAGCCCGCUGCAGGCUUGGGUGAUGGUGACUCCGCGUUGAGCGGGACAGUGUGGCCCUUCUUGGGAAACAGUGGGGCUGAGCCGUGUCCUCACCACUCGCAGGACGGGUCCAUCCUGACUGGGACAUCAGUCCUGGUGGGAACAUCCAGUCCUUCGUCCAGCAGGGCUUCUUGAGGGGGACGGACCACAAACACGGAGAGGGAAGUAGUGAAUGUGGAAUGUGCGUCGGAAGGUGGACAGAGGGUGGGUGGCCGUCAGGACGGCAGGGGCCUUCGUGUGGCCUGGGGGACAGGCGGGCCCGACCUGGGCCUGGCACUACUCUGACCUUCGCUGCGUUUGCGUGUCGGGGUUUGCGGGGCCUGCGUCUCAGUUGUCAGAAGCAUGAGUCCGGGGGUCUCGCGUCGGCCCGCUCUCGUGAGCCAGCUAAUGCGGACGCCAGUGUGGGGACUUCAGCCCGAAGCCGUGCCCUCCCACCAUGGGCAUUGGAGGCGGUGAAUGGGACGCCUGAGGGGUGGGUGUAGAGCGCACUCAGGUGUGUGGGGGGCGGGGAUGGUGUGCGGGGCACAGGCAGGUGUGCGGGG